GAUGAACGCUGGCGGCGUGCUUAACACAUGCAAGUCGAACGGAAAGGCCCUGCUUUUGUGGGGUGCUCGAGUGGCGAACGGGUGAGUAACACGUGAGUAACCUGCCCUUGACUUUGGGAUAACUUCAGGAAACUGGGGCUCAUACCGGAUAGGAGCUCCUGCUGCAUGGUGGGGGUUGGAAAGUUUCGGCGGUUGGGGCUGGACUAGCGGCUUAUCAGCUUGUUGGUGGGGUAGUGGCUUACCAAGGCUUUGACGGGUAGCCGGCCUGAGAGGGUGACCGGCCACAUUAGUACUGAGGUACGGCGCAGACUCCUACGGGAGGCAGCAGUGGAGAAUAUUGCACAAUGGGCGGAAGCCUGAUGCAGCAACGCCGCGUGCGGGAUGACGGCCUUCGGGUUGUAAACCGCUUUCGCCGGUGACGAAGCGUGAGUGACGGUAAUGAGUAAAGAAGCACCGGCUAACUACGUG
rnacentral:rRNA from 1 species